GUUAAGCGACUAAGCGUACACGGUGGAUGCCCUGGCAGUCAGAGGCGAUGAAGGGCGUGCUAAUCUGCGAUAAGCGCCGGUAAGGUGAUAUGAACCGUUAUAACCGGCGAUACCCGAAUGGGGAAACCCAGUGUGAUUCGUCACACUAUCAUUAACUGAAUCCAUAGGUUAAUGAGGCGAACCGGGGGAACUGAAACAUCUAAGUACCCCGAGGAAAAGAAAUCAACCGAGAUUCCCCCAGUAGCGGCGAGCGAACGGGGAGGAGCCCAGAGCCUGAAUCAGCAUGUGUGUUAGUGGAAGCGUCUGGAAAGGCGCGCGAUACAGGGUGACAGCCCCGUACACAAAAGCGCAUGUGCUGUGAGCUCGAUGAGUAGGGCGGGACACGUGGUAUCCUGUCUGAAUAUGGGGGGACCAUCCUCCAAGGCUAAAUACUCCUGACUGACCGAUAGUGAACCAGUACCGUGAGGGAAAGGCGAAAAGAACCCCGGCGAGGGGAGUGAAAAAGAACCUGAAACCGUGUACGUACAAGCAGUGGGAGCCCCACCACUAAGCCAGUGGUGAACUCCACAUACGCAUCCUUUGCUGAGGAUACGGUUAACGGAGCGAAAGCGACGUUCAACCGCAAAAGAAGCAGAGGGGGCUUAGUGGUGGGGUGACUGCGUACCUUUUGUAUAAUGGGUCAGCGACUUAUAUUCUGUAGCAAGGUUAACCGUAUAGGGGAGCCGGAGGGAAACCGAGUC
rnacentral:rRNA from 1 species